rnacentral:rRNA from 1 species
ACUCCUACGGGAGGCAGCAGUGGGGAAUAUUGCACAUGGCAGGCAAGCCAUGCAGUGCAGCCCAUGCCGCGUGUGUGAAGAAGGCCUUCGGGUUGUAAAGCACUUUCAGUCGUGAGGAAGGUAGUGUAGUUAAUAGCUGCAUUAUUUGACGUUAGCGACAGAAGAAGCACCGGCUAACUCCGUGCCAGCAGCCGCGGUAAUACGGAGGGUGCGAGCGUUAAUCGGAAUUACUGGGCGUAAAGCGCAUGCAGGCGGCCUGUUAAGUCAGAUGUGAAAGCCCGGGGCUUAACCUCGG